CAGUCGCCGCGGUAACACGUAGGGUGCGAGCGUUAAUCGGAAUUACUGGGCGUAAAGCGUGCGCAGGCGGUUUUGUAAGACAGGCGUGAAAUCCCCGGGCUCAACCUGGGAAUGGCGCUUGUGACUGCAAAGCUAGAGUGCGGCAGAGGGGGAUGGAAUUCCGCGUGUAGCAGUGAAAUGCGUAGAUAUGCGGAGGAACACCGAUGGCGAAGGCAAUCCCCUGGGCCUGCACUGACGCUCAUGCACGAAAGCGUGGGGAGCAAACAGGAUUAGAUACCCCCGUAGUCCCUGUCUCUUAUAC
rnacentral:rRNA from 1 species